GUUACUUUCAAGAAUCCUGCUGUUUUGGUUGUCAGUCAGAAGCGGAACAUCAUUCGAAGUUUAAAAUCUUUGUGGUUGCAGAGAGAUUGUUGUUGUAAUGGCCUUCGUCUGAGCUGUAAGUCAGAAAAGUACAGUGGAUGCUAAACGCCCCAACAAGAAGGCUAGAGGGGCAGAUGCUCGAUUUGAUCAAGUACAGAGAUGCAACAGUGAAAGGUCCUUCAUUGCAAUAAAGAUUAAAAAUGAAAGAGUGCAACCAGGUCUGGCAGUACAUCCACAUCCGUUGUCCCCGAGCAGGAGACUGAGGGAGAUGAUUCUGGGAGCUUCAUGGACUCUGGAGGAGCUAGAAAUGGAGGAUAACUUCUGUUCCAUCCCUCGACCCAGGUAUUUGCAUUUAAAAUAAUGUUUCUGAAUUCAAAUAAAGGAAUCAGCCAUGGUGGAAUUUCUGG
rnacentral:lncRNA from 1 species